UACAGAGGUCCCGAGCGUGUCCGGAUUUAUUGGGUUUAAAGGGUGCGUAGGCGGUCUUUUAAGUCAGUGGUGAAAGCCUCCAGCUUAACUGGAGAACUGCCAUUGAUACUGGAAGACUUGAGUACAGACGAGGUAGGCGGAAUUGACAGUGUAGCGGUGAAAUGCAUAGAUAUUGUCAAGAACACCGAUUGCGAAGGCAGCUUACUAGACUGUAACUGACGCUGAGGCACGAAAGUGUGGGGAUCAAACAGG
rnacentral:rRNA from 1 species